CCUACGGGUGGCUGCAGUGGGGAAUAUUGGACAAUGGGCGAAAGCCUGAUCCAGCCAUGCCGCGUGUGUGAAGAAGGCCUUCGGGUUGUAAAGCACUUUCAGUGGGGAAGAAAGCCUUGGGGCUAAUACCCUCGAGGAAGGACAUCACCCACAGAAGAAGCACCGGCUAACUCCGUGCCAGCAGCCGCGGUAAUACGGAGGGUGCGAGCGUUGAAUCGGAAUUACUGGGCGUAAAGCGCGCGUAGGCGGUCUGAUAAGCCGGUUGUGAAAGCCCCGGGCUCAACCUGGGAACGGCAUCCGGAACUGUCAGGCUAGAGUGCAGGAGAGGAAGGUAGAAUUCCCGGUGUAGCGGUGAAAUGCGUAGAGAUCGGGAGGAAUACCAGUGGCGAAGGCGGCCUUCUGGACUGACACUGACGCUGAGGUGCGAAAGCGUGGGUAGCAAACAGGAUUAGAUACCCCGGUAGUC
rnacentral:rRNA from 1 species